AUGAUCAUGCCUAGAUAUUCUCAUAACUAUGCACUUUUCUAUCAAUUGCUCAACAGUAAUUUGUUCACCCACCGUAAUACUUAUGCUAUCUUGAGAGAAGCCACUAGUGAAACCUAUGGCCCCCAGGUCUAUUUUCCAUCAUAUAAGUUUCUGAUCUACUUUAUUUUGCAAUCUUUACUUUCCAAUCUAUAUCAUAAAAUUACCAAAAAUAUUAUCUUAUUAUUAUCUCUAUCAGAUCUCACUUUUGCAAGUGGCCGUGAAGGGAUUGACAACCCCUUUAUAACGUUGGUUGUGAGGUUCUUAUUUGUUUGUGUAGGUACGAGGGAUUUGUGUGUAACCUCCUACUGGAUUGAUACCUUGGUUCUCAAAAACUGA
rnacentral:rRNA from 1 species